AAGAGGCACACCAAAAGAAAUGUAGAGCCUGAAAUAGCACACAUCCCUUCUUUUUACCAGGUCCAGCGUAUGCAGGUGUCACGUUAGAGCUUAGCACAUAUAUGUGCUUUCAGUGUCAUAAAUGGGCAAUGAAUGGGAGAGGAAGAUAAGUACUAAUAAUGGCGUGUCCUGGGUGUGUUGUGGCUAACCCAACCUACCAUACAGGAGGCAUUAUAAAACCUGGUGCCUGGUGUGGUAGCCACUCAUAAAAUGUUUUCUAUGCCCCAUAGAUUACCUCUGCCCUGCGUUAUGCGAAAUCUCAAGCUGUGGCUCAGUUUAAAAGCAAACAAUGGAAAGAGCAUUACAUCCUCCUAUGAAGUCUGUUCUUGAUCCUUUCUGGUUAGUAGCACACGAUGCUUGCCCACUGCACAGAACACACAUGGACGUCACAUGUGUAUCAUGUUCCAAGUCAGUGCCACUCAAGGAGAGCUAUAUUUCCAAAGCUGUACCUUCAGUUCCUACUGGUAUGGGAUGCUGUCAUACAGACACCAUGGGCUUCUGCUCAGGAGGAAGGACGUGAGUGAUGGAGAGACACUUACCUGACCUUGCUGGAAUCAACUCUUCUUGGAGAGCUGACACUUGUACCCCAGGCUUUCAAAAGUUGCAAUGAGUGGAGAAAGUUCACUCUGGGGACAGAGUCAGAGGUUGGGAACGUGACUGCAAAGGCAGCUUUGAACCCUGAGUCUUCAAAGCACAUCCUCUCCCUCUGAGGCCAGACAAGGCAGGAGGGCAGAAAUUUAAUCCAACAAUGGUGGUUAGAUCUAGGACCUUUGGAAGUACUGAGAGCAGUCCAGACCAAAACGAAAACACUAAAGAUAUCUCAAAGCAAAUAGCAUGAUUGGCAGAACAAGUGGGCCACCUAUGGGGUGGGAGGAAGUCUUCUCCAGCAUCUGCCUGACAGAGGACUCGCAUCCAGAACAUACAAAGGACUCAAAAAUGGCAGAAGAACAAAGAAUCUCAUUAAUAAUGCUUUGAUGGCAGUUUGAAGCACAGUGACCCUGUGUGAGUGUCACAGCAUCUUGGUUCCUCACAGACUUGGAGGUCUCCCCAGCUUUACAACAAUGCCUCCUGCACCCGUGAAGAUCAAAGCCUGGUUCUUCCUGUGCAAAAUGAAGAAGUCACAGAAAAGAAAAACAAAAUGAAGACCAUGACCUCACAAGGUAAGGAAAUCCAAACAGUCAGGGAGUGUAUGAUGCGGUACCUCACCUCCUGAGUAAUGGGGGAGAUGCAAACCGUUGUCUUCUCAAGGAGAUUGCAACCUGUGGGGUGAUGGACGCCUCUGGCAUGGUUGUUUGGCUGUGUUCCCUUUCCAUUUUCAGAAGCAGAUGUUGGUGGCUUCAGAUGUGUCUCUCUCAAAACCCCAGAACUCCAAGUGGUUUGAAAGAACAUAUCUGGAAGCUCCUGGAGCGUGUUCAGGAAGCCAACACCUUCAAAGCAGAAAGGUCAAGGAGGUCAAGGGACGAAGCUCACCCACUAGUGAGUCCAGCUUGUUCCCGAGGCAACCGUGUGCUUGAGACAGGCACCCUGCCUCCAAUAGAACUGCCUUCUUUGUAUGUUUGUUUGUUUUUGUUUUGUUUUGUUUUGCUACUUAUAACAUCUAUGAAGUCAAGGACCUCAUCUGGGUCAUUCACUAAAUUCAUUCUAUUGCCAAGUUCAUAGAGGGAACCAGGUAUGUGGUGUUGAAAAAGCAAAUAAUUAAGUGGGUUGGAAAGUUGGCUUGGUGGUUAAGAGCACUUGCUCUUCUUGCAGAGGACCAAGAUUUUGGUUGCCAGCACUC